rnacentral:rRNA from 1 species
UAGGGAAUCUUCGGCAAUGGACGAAAGUCUGACCGAGCAACGCCGCGUGAGUGAAGAAGGUUUUCGGAUCGUAAAACUCUGUUGUUAGAGAAGAACAAGGACGUUAGUAACUGAACGUCCCCUGACGGUAUCUAACCAGAAAGCCACGGCUAACUACGUGCCAGCAGCCGCGGUAAUACGUAGGUGGCAAGCGUUGUCCGGAUUUAUUGGGCGUAAAGCGAGCGCAGGCGGUUUCUUAAGUCUGAUGUGAAAGCCCCCGGCUCAACCGGGGAGGGUCAUUGGAAACUGGGAGAAUUGAGUGGAGAAGAGGAGAGUGGAUUUCCAUGUGUAGCGGUGAAAUGCGUAGAUAUAUGGAGGAACACCAGUGGCGAAGGCGGCUCUCUGGUCUGUAACUGACGCUGAGGCUCGAAAGCGUGGGGAGCAAACAGG